rnacentral:lncRNA from 1 species
AUUUCUUUGUCUUUUUAGUGGUUAUUAUGAAGUUACUAGAACUUCCCUAGUUUGCAGUUCUAAAUGGAGAUAUCUGCAUUCCUUAACUCACAUAAUUCAUAAUGAAAAUGGAUGGAUGAAUUAGUGGUCUCUCUUUAAUCUUUCUAAAUCACUCAUCUGGAUUGAAAAUAUGUUCUACCUAAGCACACCUGACUUGCAUGCUGGGAUGCCAAAAUGUGUGAAACCAAGACAUGAUUUAUCCGUUUAUUGUCACAUAUAGGAACCAAUAGACCAACUAUGUCCUGAGGGUGUGAACUGUGAGAGAUCAAUCAAUUUACAGAGCUUUGGCAAACGUUGAACAGCUGGUGCUGAAAUUCUUUGCUGGAGAAAUGACCAACCCACCAGAGAUUACAGAUUUAAGCCAAGAUUGAUGGUUAAACCUUGUAAAUAAAAUUCUCUUCAAAUGUGUCCUGACCGAUUAU